ACUCCUACGGGAGGCAGCAGUGGGGAAUAUUGCACAAUGGGGGAAACCCUGAUGCAGCCAUGCCGCGUGUGUGAAGAAGGCCUUCGGGUUGUAAAGCACUUUCAGCAGUGAGGAAGGUGGGUAUGUUAAUAGCAUAUUCAUUUGACGUUAGCUGCAGAAGAAGCACCGGCUAACUCCGUGCCAGCAGCCGCGGUAAUACGGAGGGUGCGAGCGUUAAUCGGAAUUACUGGGCGUAAAGCGCAUGCAGGUGGUUUGUUAAGUCAGAUGUGAAAGCCCGGGGCUCAACCUCGGAAUUGCAUUUGAAACUGGCAAACUAGAGUACUGUAGAGGGGGGUAGAAUUUCAGGUGUAGCGGUGAAAUGCGUAGAGAUCUGAAGGAAUACCAGUGGCGAAGGCGGCCCCCUGAGCAAAGACUGACGCUCAGAUGCGAAAGCGU
rnacentral:rRNA from 1 species